UAUGGCCACACGACGUUGAAACGCUCGUUUCUGUACGAUCACCGAUGUUAAGAAACGUCGAACCUGUUCAGUACCUAGAUGGUUGACCUCUUGGGAAUACCAAAUGCUGCAAG